UGCCUGGCUUGCUUCCUGUUGUUCCUUGA
rnacentral:piRNA from 1 species